rnacentral:rRNA from 1 species
UACGUAGGCAGCGAGCGUUGUUCGGAGUUACUGGGCGUAAAGGGUGUGUAGGCGGUUCUUUAAGUUUGGUGUGAAAUCUCCCGGCUCAACCGGGAGGGUGCGCCGAAUACUGAGGGACUCGAGUGCGGGAGAGGAAAGUGGAAUUCCCGGUGUAGUGGUGAAAUGCGUAGAUAUCGGGAGGAACACCAGUGGCGAGGGCGACUACCUGGCCUGUUCUUGACGCUGAGGCGCGAAAGCUAGGGGAGCAAACGGG